rnacentral:rRNA from 1 species
UACGUAGGGUGCAAGCGUUGUCCGGAAUUAUUGGGCGUAAAGAGCUCGUAGGCGGUUUGUCGCGUCUGCUGUGAAAUCCCGAGGCUCAACCUCGGGCUUGCAGUGGGUACGGGCAGACUAGAGUGCGGUAGGGGAGAUUGGGAUUCCUGGUGUAGCGGUGGAAUGCGCAGAUAUCAGGAGGAACACCGAUGGCGAAGGCAGAUCUCUGGGCCGUAACUGACGCUGAGACGCGAAAGCGUGGGGAGCGAACAGG